AGACGACCAGGUCGUUUAAGAGACUCCAGCUAAUGGCACUGGGCAUGCGGCGUGCUGAGAACUUCUUUCUGAAGACGGAUUCUGGUGGCGAACAAAACAAUAACAGCACCGGGAGAAAUGGACCAUUUCCUCUCUGCAGCCUCCUCUCUACCACCCUGUCCGCUGCUCGCGAUGUAAAUCAGAGAGAUGCGAGCCAAUGCAACCCAAGCGCAUGUGGGGUGUGUGUGGGCUGCCUGAGUGAAGUUAAAGACCCCAUCCAGCAGCCUGUCAGUCCAUCGUGUGUGUGUGUGCAUGUG
ensembl:lncRNA